GUGGGUAUAGCUCAGUGGUAGAGUGUACACUUUACAUGCAUGAGGUCCUGGGUUUGAUCCCCAGGACCUCCA
rnacentral:tRNA from 1 species